rnacentral:rRNA from 1 species
UACGGAGGGUGCAAGCGUUAUCCGGAUUUACUGGGUUUAAAGGGUGCGUAGGUGGGUUGGUAAGUCAGUGGUGAAAUCUUCGAGCUUAACUCAGAAACUGCCAUUGAUACUAUCAAUCUUGAAUUAUCUGGAGGUAAGCGGAAUAUGUCAUGUAGCGGUGAAAUGCUUAGAUAUGACAUAGAACACCCAUUGCGAAGGCAGCUUACUACGGAUACAUUGACACUGAGGCACGAAAGCGUGGGGAUCAAACAGG